GACGAACGCUGGCGGCGUGCUUAACACAUGCAAGUCGAGCGGUAAGGCCCUUUCGGGGGUACACGAGCGGCGAACGGGUGAGUAACACGUGGGUGACCUGCCCUCAGCUCUGGGAUAAGCCUGGGAAACUGGGUCUAAUACCGGAUAUGACUCCAUGACGCAUGUUGUGGGGUGGAAAGCCUUGUGCGGCUGAGGAUGGGCCCGCGGCCUAUCAGCUUGUUGGUGGGGNGAUGGCCUACCAAGGCGACGACGGGUAGCCGGCCUGAGAGGGCGACCGGCCACACUGGGACUGAGACACGGCCCAGACUCCUACGGGAGGCAGCAGUGGGGAAUCUUGCGCAAUGGGACGAAAGCCUGACGCAGCGACGCCGCGUGA
rnacentral:rRNA from 1 species